UACGGAGGAGGCAAGCGUUAUCCGGAAUUAUUGGGCGUAAAGCGUCCGUAGGUGGCUAGUCAAGUCUGCGGUCAAAGACUGGGGCUUAACCCUGGAAAGGCCGUGGAAACUGACGAGCUAGAGUGCAGUAGGGGUAGAGGGAAUUCCCGGUGUAGCGGUGAAAUGCGUAGAGCUCGGGAAGAACAUCGGUGGCGAAAGCGGCUCACUGGACCGUCACUGACGCUGAGGUGCGAAAGCUAGGGUAGCAAACGGG
rnacentral:rRNA from 1 species